UUGGAUUUGUGUGUUUACAAAUUACGAAUUGAAUUUAUGAAUUGGAUUUGGGCAUUUAUGAAUUGGAUUUGGGCAUUUAUUAAUAGCGUUUAGAAUUUACAAAUUAUAUUUUGUGAAUGUGAUUUGUGAAUGUAUUAUUUUUGAGACUGAUCUGGCUCCAUACUAUAGUUGUGGUGUUACCAUAACAACUGUAGAAUCACCACAACAGAUUAAAUCAAGUACUUUACUGUAGUAUGGUUCAAAAACACUACAGUAUUUACUUUAUAUUACUAUAGUUUUUUUUUACAUGUCUAUUGCUACAACUAGCACAUGAAUGUGGGUUUACAUGCUUUAUGUAUUAUAUAGAAACCAAAAAUAGUUUGUUUACUGCUAAAUAUGCCUGUGUAUACAAGUAUUUUGAGAGUGGACAAUGUGGGAGUGUCAGGGAGUGAAUUGGGAGGGGCUAAACAUCUAUUGGCCUCUUCAGCUCUCUGAUUGGAGAAAUUUCAGCACAGCAUCAUGGGUAGUGUAGUUUUUCGUCACAGAUCACAAACAAAUGUUUCUAACGGUAUUUAGAAAAGCAUUUACCAUCAGUUUACACCUUUAUAACUCACAAUAUAGUCAUGUCUCUAUCGGUUUACUGUAUGAAGCCUGAUUGUAGUUUUUAGGAGCAUUUUUAAUGCGCACAAUGGGUUUUAAAAGUCUUAUUUGCUUCACGAAUGUGUGUAGUUUGUGUUGUGGAACAAACCGUGCCAAAUGAAAUAUAAACACAGGCCGUAUUUGACUUCAAAACCACUUCAGAAACCCAUGUUAAAGUCCUUUGAGAACCACUCUCUCAAACCCGCUAAUUCUCUUCUGGGUUUUAGGACUACAACUGAUACAUGGCUACUGUAAACAGGUAAACAGCCUACAUGAGACCAGCGGAGAUGAUGGAAACAGUAUUUACAGCAUUCAGAUGAUGUAAUAACAGCACAGUGCAGUGGGCCCAAAGAACUAGAUGAUAUGUGCACAAAUCUUCAAUGGUUGUAAGAGACUUUAAGCAAACACUACCACAGUUCCCGGACACAGAAAUGGGCUGCCAAUGAAAACACAAGUGGCUUUCUUUUUGUAUUACUUUCGUGUGUGUUCACUGUAAUCUGGUUGCCAUUGUUAUUACCUGCAGUGUUUUAGUCAAUGUUUUCACACUGAAAAUAUAAAAAAAAGAACAUUUUGACAGCAA